CCUACGGGAGGCAGCAGUGAGGAAUAUUGGUCAAUGGACGAGAGUCUGAACCAGCCAAGUAGCGUGAAGGAUGACUGCCUUAUGGGUUGUAAACUCCUUUUAUAAGGGAAUAAAACGAGGCACGUGUGCCUUUUUGCAUGGACUUUAUGAAUAAGGCACGGCGAACUCCGUGCCAGCAGCCGCGGUAAUACGGAGGAUCCGAGCGUUAUGCGGAUUGAUUGGGUUUAAAGGGAGCGUAGAUGGGUUGUUAAGUCAGUUGUGAAAGUUUGCGGCUCAACCGUAAAAUUGCAAUUGAUACUGGAAGUCUUGAGUACAGUUGAGGUAGGCGGAAUUCGUGGUGUAGCGGUGAAAUGCUUAGAUAUCACGAAGAACCCCGAUUGCGAAGGCAGCUUACUAAACUGUGACUGACAUUGAUGCUCGAAAGUGUGGGUAUCAAACAGGAUUAGAUACCCUAGUAGUC
rnacentral:rRNA from 1 species